rnacentral:rRNA from 1 species
UUAAAUUGAAGAGUUUGAUCAUGGCUCAGAUUGAACGCUGGCGGCAGGCCUAACACAUGCAAGUCGAACGGUAACAGAAAGCAGCUUGCUGCUUUGCUGACGAGUGGCGGACGGGUGAGUAAUGUCUGGGAAACUGCCUGAUGGAGGGGGAUAACUACUGGAAACGGUAGCUAAUACCGCAUAACGUCGCAAGACCAAAGAGGGGGACCUUCGGGCCUCUUGCCAUCGGAUGUGCCCAGAUGGGAUUAGCUAGUAGGUGGGGUAACGGCUCACCUAGGCGACGAUCCCUAGCUGGUCUGAGAGGAUGACCAGCCACACUGGAACUGAGACACGGUCCAGACUCCUACGGGAGGCAGCAGUGGGG